GUUUAAAUAAUUUAAUAAAAAAUAUUAAUUUUGUAAAUUAAAAAUAAAAAAAAAAAUUUUUUAAACU
rnacentral:tRNA from 1 species